GAGAUACUCCCUCCGUCCGAAAAUACUUGUCAUCAAAAUUGAUCAAAAGAGAUGUAUCUAGAACUAAACUAUGUCUAGAUACAUCCCUUUCUAUCCAUUCUAAUGACAAAUAUUUUCGGACGGAGGGAGUACCUC
rfam:Triticum aestivum genome assembly, contig: Triticum_aestivum_CS42_TGACv1_scaffold_323213_4BL